rnacentral:rRNA from 1 species
UACGGAGGAUGCAAGCGUUAUCCGGAAUGAUUGGGCGUAAAGAGCUCGUAGGCGGUUUGUCGCGUCUGCUGUGAAAACUCGGGGCUUAACCCCGGGCCUGCAGUGGGUACGGGCAGACUAGAGUGCGGUAGGGGAGACUGGAAUUCCUGGUGUAGCGGUGAAAUGCGCAGAUAUCAGGAGGAACACCGGUGGCGAAGGCGGGUCUCUGGGCCGUAACUGACGCUGAGGAGCGAAAGCGUGGGGAGCGAACAGG